UCCUCCCUGAAUUAGGUUGCAACACCAACAGUAGCCCUUUCUCCUCCACAUCCAAUUAAAGUCUUCAUUGCGAACAUGGAUUUUCAGGGAUUGGGCUCGAGCUGGAGCUCAUUUGAUGCUGCAAUGGUGGGGGAGGAAUCCCAAGUCAUGGCACAGUUGUUCGGUUCUCAGGAGAUGUUUUGGUCUGAUCACAGUUCUCACUGUGAUCUUUUUGAUUGGAACCAAGGCAGCAGCUCUCCUAGUGUUCUUCCUCAUGUAGAUGCCAAUUAUGUAGGAGAUAACUACUUUUGCAAAACCAAUACGAGCUCGGAAAUGGUGGAGCCUCUGCCUCCACUUUCACAAACCAUGAAGAGAAAGUUGAAUAACGAGGACACGACGACGAUGUUCGAAGUUCCUAAGAAGAAGGCGAGCAUUUCCAUUCCUUGUUUCAAUUGUGAAGCAUUGGUAAUAUACAGAUUGUGUAUGAUAAAAAAUGGAGGUGCGUGUUAAUUUCUUAGGUUUCAAAGAAGGGGAAGAAUUCACUGUGCAAGAGGAUUGAGAAGAGUGACGGCACUGUGCAUGAGGACUUAAAUUCACAGAAUUCCAGUUGCUACAGCUCGGAGGAUGAUGAUUCCAACGAGCAGAAAGGAGCAACCAAUGGAAAGAAAAGAGCUGGUAGAGGAGCAGCAACUGAUCCCCAAAGCCUGUACGCAAGGAAGAGGAGAGAAAGGAUCAAUGAGAGGCUGAAAACCUUGCAAAACUUGGUUCCAAAUGGGACAAAAGUAGACAUUAGCACAAUGCUUGAAGAAGCAGUUCAGUAUGUCAAGUUCUUGCAGCUCCAAAUUAAGCUGUUGAGCUCUGAUGACUUGUGGAUGUACGCUCCCAUUGCAUACAAUGGCAUGAACCUUGGCAUUGACUUGAACAUCUCUCAACUGUGACAUUCAGAACAGUUUUACUCGACUAUAUAUAGAACUGAAGGAGAAUAA